UACGUAGGGGGCAAGCGUUGUCCGGAUUUAUUGGGCGUAAAGCGCGUGUAGGCGGCCAGGUAGGUCCGUUGUGAAAACUCGAGGCUCAACCUCGAGACGUCGACGGGAAACCAUCUGGCUAGAGUCCGGAAGAGGAGAGUGGAAUUCCUGGUGUAGCGGUGAAAUGCGCAGAUAUCGGAAGGAACACCAGUGGCGAAAGCGGCUUCCUGGUCCAGCACCGACGUCAGGCACGAAAGCGUGGGGAGCAAACAGG
rnacentral:rRNA from 1 species